rnacentral:misc_RNA from 1 species
AAGUCGUAACAAGGUUUCCGUAGGUGAACCUGCGGAAGGAUCAUUAUUGAAUACUGAAUCGGUUCUGAUGCUGGCUCUUUACUGGGCAUGUGCUCGUCCGUUCAUAUUUACCUUCUCUUGUGCACAUUUUGUAGUCCUUUGGAACAAGUGAAUUUCGCGCUGCUGUGAUUAACUUCGCGGUGGUUGCGGUUUGGGGGAUUGGGUGUAACAGCCCUUCCUCUGUUUAUGCGCGUUGCUGCGAUUUACUUCGUGGUGACUGCGGUUUGGGGGUUGAGCGUCAGCACUUCCCCUGCUUUUGCUUUUUUCAAGGCUACGUUUUCAUAUACCCUAUACAAUGUUACAGAAUGUCUUUAAAGAUUGUGCUUGGUCGCAGUCAUUAAACCUAUACAACUUUCAGCAACGGAUCUCUUGGCUCUC